UCGUUGUAUCGAUCAUCAAAAU
rnacentral:miRNA from 10 species